AAUGCGAGGUAUGAGAGAAAAAAGAUGACACAAAUUAGACGAGCAAAGAGUUGGAAAGUGUAUUUGAAACAGUUGUUGUAGUAGUCUCACUCCAACUUCCCCACACAAACUUCCCCAUCCUUGCGCUCCAACUUCUUCCCGUUCCUCCUCCACUCUCUCUCUCUGGGUCUUACUCCUCCAUACAAAAACCGAAUCGUUGCCUAAAGUAACAGAGUCCAUCCCAUUGUCGCCAAAUCCCAUCAUCUUCUCAAACCAGUAGUUAUGUUGGAGAGACCUCGACGCUCUUGCCAAGGCAUCGCAAUGGGCGCCAUCAUCCUUUAUUUCCAAUCUGGUCUCGGAAUCGGUAAUCGCCAAUUAAUUUUUGAAUUUUUCCUUGAUAAUUGUCAAAUUAGCUCAAAAUUGCCAUGAAGAUCCAAUUAAUUUCUGAAUUCUUCCUUGAUAAUUGUUGAAUUAAUUCGAACUUGCCCUGAGAGAGGAAGAAGAUGAAGAUAGUGACGUACAACGUGAACGGGCUCAAAUUCCUGAAUUUAUUAGAUUGGCUUACAGGAACCAAACUGUAACCCGUUGGAAUUGACCGCCGCCCUGGUCAUGGCAGAGGGAUACGAGUCCUUCUCCUACAGCUGCACCUCUGAAAGAGGUUGCACCGGGUACUCUAGGUAAGUGUUUGUUGAAAUGCCUCAACCACACACACCACACUCUUCAAAUGUUGCACCUUUAGUUUCGAAUUUUGAUUCUUUUUUUUUUUUUGCAUAAAAUGUGGUUUGGUCCGAUGUUUUGCCGGUUGAAGUCGACAUUAUCGGGUGACGAAGAGGCGUUGCCGGUGGCGGUGGAGGAAGCAUUCACUGGAGUUCUUGACAGUGGGAAAGGAUAAAUGAAUGCAGUUGCGGAAGGGCUUAAGGAGUUUUCGAGAGAUGACCUACUGAAGUUGAUGGCAAAGGGUGGUGUGUUGUAACAGAUCAUGGGCAUUUUGUUCUCUUUUCAAUUUGAAAGGCCUCGAGCAGGGAAAAAUGAAACAGAAAGGAUACAGUUUAAGUUCAAGUUUUUCAAUUUGUAGUUCUCUUUUAUGUCAUUCAGAACGUUGGGCAGAGGAAAUCCUCAAUCUGCAAAACACGUUAUUGCAGACUGAGUUAGAGAAGUAGCAUAUGGCUUUGGAGUUGGAGGAAAAAAAAGCCCAAGCUGAAAGAGAGAAGAUGGUGCAACAGCAAGCUAAGAAAAUUGAGAACCUCAGCUCAAUGGUGUUGUAUUCAAAUAGAGAUAGAAUCGCGAUUGCUUUAAAAAGGUUAGGAGACGUGGUCGAUGACCGCCAGUGCCAACUCAAGAACUCAAGACAAGCCUCCAAUUUUUCCUUCACACGCUUCUUCUCUUUUAUUUGGAGCAAUUGGAGAUGGAGACCCAAAAUAAUAACUAGCCAAGGUAUACUUCAGUUUUCCAUUUUAUUAUUUGUCAUUUGCAGAGAUAUAAAUAGAGCAGUUAUGUACUAUGAGUAUCAGAUUUCUUUGUCUACAUUGCGGGUAGUCAAAUGGUUGAAACAGUUUGUUGUUAAAUGGCUUUAUUUGCAUUUUACAACUUUCAUUGGAAUAAUAUUUGAUUGAGUUAAAACUUUGAUUUAUGAAUUUACAAGUUUUUAUUUGUUUCUCUAUCAUAUGGUUGGCAUCAUUUCAGUCCAAUAACUCUCGAGAUAUAAAAGUUGAGGAAUUUAGCGCUGAUGAUUUCCUUUUUUCCUGCUGUUUAUAGAUAUGCUUGUCAUUUUAUUCAUUUUUCAUGUUAACUUUGUUCUACAAGCU